rnacentral:miRNA from 13 species
ACUCUAGCUGCCAAAGGCGCU